rnacentral:rRNA from 1 species
GGGAAUAUUGCGCAAUGGGGGAAACCCUGACGCAGCAACGCCGCGUGAGUGAUGAAGGUCUUCGGAUCGUAAAGCUCUGUCGGCAGGAACGAUGAGUGAGACAGCUAAUAUCUGUCAUACUUGACGGUACCUGCAAAGGAAGCACCGGCUAACUCUGUGCCAGCAGCCGCGGUAAUACAGAGGGUGCAAGCGUUGUUCGGAAUCAUUGGGCGUAAAGGGCGCGUAGGCGGUCCUAUAAGUCGUAUGUGAAAGCCCAGGGCUCAACCUUGGAAGUGCAUAUGAUACUGCAGGACUCGAAUCUCGGAGAGGGUGGUGGAAUUCCCAGUGUAGAGGUGAAAUUCGUAGAUAUUGGGAGGAACACCGGUGGCGAAGGCGACCACCUGGACGAAGAUUGACGCUGAGGCGCGAGAGCGUGGGGAGCAAAC